AGAGUUUGAUCCUGGCUCAGAACGAACGCUGGCGGCGUGCUUAACACAUGCAAGUCGAACGUGAUCCGGAGCUUGCUCCGGUGAAAGUGGCGCACGGGUGAGUAACGCGUGGAUAACCUGCCCUGGUAUCCGGAAUAACAUCUCGAAAGGGGUGCUAAUACCGGAUAAGCCUACGGAGCCUUCGGUCUCUGCAGGAAAAGGUGGCCUCUAUUUAUAAGCUACCGUAUCAGGAUGGGUCCGCGUACCAUUAGCUAGUUGGUGGGGUAAUGGCCUACCAAGGCGACGAUGGUUAGCUGGUCUGAGAGGAUGAUCAGCCACACUGGAACUGAGACACGGUCCAGACUCCUACGGGAGGCAGCAGUGGGGAAUUUUGCGCAAUGGGGGAAACCCUGACGCAGCAACGCCGCGUGAGUGAUGAAGGCUUUCGGGUCGUAAAGCUCUGUCAGUAGGGAAGAAAUGAAAACGGUUAAUACCCGUUUUUCUUGACGGUACCUACAAAGGAAGCACCGGCUAACUCCGUGCCAGCAGCCGCGGUAAUACGGAGGGUGCAAGCGUUGUUCGGAUUUAUUGGGCGUAAAGCGCGUGUAGGCGGUUUCUUAAGUCUGAUGUGAAAGCCCUGGGCUCAACCCAGGAAGUGCAUUGGAUACUGGGAAACUUGAAUACGGGAGAGGGUAGUGGAAUUCCUAGUGUAGGAGUGAAAUCCGUAGAUAUUAGGAAGAACACCGGUGGCGAAGGCGACUUUCUGGACUGUAACUGACGCUGAGGCUCGAAAGCGUGGGGAGCGAACAGGAUUAGAUACC
rnacentral:rRNA from 1 species